CGAGGGUGAACGGGGCGGCCCGAGAGGUGGGGGAGCGGGGGGGACCCCUUCAGUCCUCCGCCAUUCACUUUCCCCUCUAGUCUCACACCCCCCUCUCUAGUCCGCCUUCACGUGGGGUGCGGGGCAGGAGGGAGGGGGCAGGGGAGGGUGGGGGUGGGGUGGGGUGGGGUGGGGUGGGGUGGGGGGGAGACGAGGGGGAGGAGGAGGUGGGGAAGCCGAGAAAUGCCCACCUUCUCCGGCCGACUCGGGGGCACCGCAGCCCCUGCGGCGGCGGCCGCUGCAAGAGCCUCCCGGGCGCCGUGCACCGGCCGAGGCGGCGCGGAGCGGGGGCCGCCGUCCCCUCGCCGCCCCCGAGCCCCGAGCCCCGAGCUCAGGGUCGCUCAAGCCUGUCCCCUCCCGGCCCCGCCGGCCCCGCUCGGCCCUCCCCGCCCGCGCCCCGCGGACCCUUUCAAACCCCCUGGGCUCGCGGCGGCUGUUCCGUGAGCAGACGCUGGCCGCGGCCGGGGCCGGGGCGGCGAGGCUCGGAGCGGGGCGGCGGGGCGCCCGGUACGGUGAGCCCAGCAACGGGGCGCGGGCGGGCGCGCAGGGACGCCGGGUCCUCGCGGAGCACGGCCGGGGCGCGGCGGCGGCGGCGGCGGGAGCGCAGGGACCGCUCCAUCACUGGCAGCCAUGGAGCCCGAGCAUUUUCCUCCCUCGGGGCAGGCGCCUCGGCUCGGCACGCGUCCUCGGGGAGGAAGGGGCCGGCGCCCGGGCCUCCCCGGGGGGCGGCGGCGGGCUGCGAGCCGCUCGGCUCCUCGUCCUCGUCCCCGUCCUCGUCCUCGUCCUCGCGGGCGGCUCCUUCCUCGGCGGCGCUGGGGGCCAGACGGGCUGGUGCAAGCGACUGCAGCCGACGCCGUUCAAAGGAACGGGAGGUUUGAUCCCAGUACCUACUGCUUUGGGAACUGAAAACAGAUUCUCAAUGGAUCUUAUCCCAGAUCUUAAUUUCAGCAUUGAUUUCCACCUGCCUCCUUCUUCCUUGAGUAUAUCAGCUCGUGUUCUUUGGUUGCAAACAAGAGUAGCUGCCUCCGAUAAACUUAAACCAGGAAAGAAUUUAUUGGGAAAAUUGGGAAGUUCCAAGGAUUGAGGAGAGGAGGCUGAAGAUCCAGUGGUGGAAAGGACAGACCCAGAUAGCUCACAGGAGUCUCCACAGCAUGAACUUCUCAACAGCUGCAUCUGAAACAAAGGAUUCUGAUUCCAGGAAGAGAGCAUGUGACUGGUUUAGCUAGGUUCAACUUGCUCAGGGGCUGGGGGAAGUCAGGGUCCCCAAACAACAGUCUCACCAGAUGGAAUCCAAAAGUGCGUAUGGAAUUACCAAAAAGUAAAUGGGGAAGCUAUUACUGAAAGAAUGGGGACUGAAAGCUGAGUAGCUAAAGGAAGUAAACCCAAAACAACAACAAAACAAAUGAGUGUCAUUCCCUUCUCCUCUCCACUUCACUGUUUUGUAUGUUUUCCACUCUUUUGUAUAUGUUUCUCUCUCUUUUUUCCUUUAUCUUUUCUGCCUUUCUUGCCUUUUCCUCACCCUUUAAAGUUUAUGUGGUAUGGUGACUGAAAUUUUUGGCAUUGUUCCUGCUUUGUCCCAGAAAUCUAAUAUCAAAAUUGUAUCACCUAAACAAAUUGACCCUUGUGGGUAAUUGGUGGUCCACAUUGUCAGGUUUUUGAAGACAUGUUCCUGAAUCCAUCCUUUUUAAACUAGCAACUGACCCAACUGCCUACCAUUAAGUCUGUUAUAUAAUUGUUAUAAGUGAGUUCCUUUAAUUAGAGCACGGAGACUUCAGGAAUUUGCCAUGGAAAAGAUAAUCAUCUACUAUUUAGUAUUUCCAUCUUAUCAUGAAAUCAGUCAGCCCUUUAUCAGAGGAAGCCAGGGAACAGCCCACCUAGUUGACAGAAAUAUGCCAGCGUCAAAUGAGCAUUUACAGUAGAGACAGAGGUUAUAGGUCAGACCUCAGAUCCACCUCUUUCUGGCUUUGUGACUUAGUUUAAUUAUUUAUCUUCUUCAAGCCUCAUUUACCUCAUCUGUGAAAGGGGACAUAAUUCUUAUCACAUUUGGCUGUUAUGAAAAAUCAAUAAAAGUAUAUUUGCAAAAUACUCUACUACCUGGCAUAUAAUGGGUGUGCAAUAAAGGUUAAAUUCCACCUUCUUUCAAUAAAUAUGCAGUGAACACCUACUAUGCCCCACCCACCAUGCUAGAUGCUAGGCAUGAGAGCAAAACAGACAUUGCUUCCAACUGCUUGGAGGUUACUGUCCAGUGGAAAAGACACACAUUAAUUAAAAUCCAGUAGAGAAAGUAUUAAUAGACAUAUU
rnacentral:lncRNA from 1 species